GCCAGUGGAACUGUGAUUCCAUAGUCUAGAUUGCUAGUCCGAUGAGCUUUCCAUUGGCUGGAGCAUUCCUUGGACCACUCCCAGACCUUUAGGUCCUGACCAUUGAAUGUGGACAGUUGUUUGCACUCAAAAACAUCCUUGAUUGGAUUAUCCUAAACAUCCAUUGGUUCCUUGUCAAAUGUGGACUAUUGGUUGUCAUUAACCAUAUCAUUGGCAUGCUAUGGUCAUCUGGUAACCAUUGAGGAAAUUUCCAGCUUGAUGUGACUUCAAGAUUAACACCCAUUGCUUUUUUGCAAUUCUCCUAGUCCAUUGAUGGGAACACGAGGAAAUCACAAAUAAAGAAGCAAGAGCUUUACUCUUGACAAGCAGCCAGAGCAAGAAGAUGCACCAAUUUCAGAUGUUAAUAAGGAAAGCAAGGAGGAUCCAACAAAUGAAGUAGAAGAAAAGGAACCAGAGGAGAAGGUAAACUCUUCCCUUUUUUGUGCAUUUUUUGGUUGGAUGCAUUUAUGCCUCUAGCUACAGUGAAAAUGUUUGCUCAAGAUGUCCUGAUCAUAGUUCU